UACGUAGGGUGCGAGCGUUGUCCGGAAUUAUUGGGCGUAAAGGGCUCGUAGGCGGUCUGUCGCGUCAGGAGUGAAAACUCGGGGCUCAACCCCGAGCCUGCUUCUGAUACGGGCAGACUGGAGGUAUGCAGGGGAGAACGGAAUUCCUGGUGUAGCGGUGAAAUGCGCAGAUAUCAGGAGGAACACCGGUGGCGAAGGCGGUUCUCUGGGCCGAUACUGACACUGAGGAGCGAAAGCGUGGGGAGCGAACAGG
rnacentral:rRNA from 1 species